rnacentral:rRNA from 1 species
AGUGGGGAAUCUUGGACAAUGGGGGCAACCCUGAUCCAGCCAUGCCGCGUGAACGAUGAAGGCCUUAGGGUUGUAAAGUUCUUUCAGCUGGGAAGAUAAUGACGGUACCAGCAGAAGAAGCCCCGGCUAACUCCGUGCCAGCAGCCGCGGUAAUACGGAGGGGGCUAGCGUUGUUCGGAAUUACUGGGCGUAAAGCGCACGUAGGCGGAUUGGAAAGUUGGGGGUGAAAUCCCGGGGCUCAACCCCGGAACUGCCUCCAAAACUUCCAGUCUUGAGGUCGAGAGAGGUGAGUGGAAUUCCGAGUGUAGAGGUGAAAUUCGUAGAUAUUCGGAGGAACACCAGUGGCGAAGGCGGCUCACUGGCUCGAUUCUGACGCUGAGGUGCGAAAGCGUGGGGAGCAAA